UACAGAGGGUGCGAGCGUUGUUCGGAAUUACUGGGCGUAAAGCGCGCGCAGGCGGCCCUUUAAGUCUACCCGUGAAAUGCCGGAGCUCAACUCCGUGCACGCCGGGGGAUACUGGGGGGCUGGAGACAGGUAGAGGCAAGCGGAAUUCCGGGUGUAGCGGUGGAAUGCGUAGAUAUUGGGAAGAACACCAGCGGCGAAAGCGCGCUACUGGGCCAUUACUGACACUCAUGGACGAAAGCUAGGGGAGCGAAAGGG
rnacentral:rRNA from 1 species